GCUUGGUAAAUUUUGGGAAAUGAAGCGUAAGCGGUGACCUCAUCUUCCUUACUUCCAAAAGAGUACGCGGUGCACUUGCGUUUUAUCCAUAAAACCCCUCAAUAAUCUUCAACUUCUUGGCCCCGUACUCAUCAAUACCGUAGCUGUGAGCGUUUGCAGCAUAUCUCCAUUUUGGGAAAAAAUGCUACACUUCUUUCGUGUUACAUUGGCAAUACUGCUUCUGGCAGUCAGCAUAAAACUUUCACAUGCUUUCCAGAGAAAUGGACAUGCUAAGAUGAAGUCGGCUGUUUUUCUAUCCCCCAAGUUUGUGCUGGGCCAAGGAUCGGUGGUGGACAAAUAUUACUAUAAUAUUGACUUCCCAAGAGGUCACAUUGCUCUCAAGAGUUUCAAUGCUGAAGUAGUUGAUGAAGCAGGGAACUCUGUGCCACUUCACGAGACUUAUCUCCACCACUGGGUCAUUGGAAGAUACUAUCAACGUCGAGGUGCAACAGAUCCAGAACACAAUGGCCCUCUGAAACUUGACAAAUCUGAUCACAUUCUCGUGAGGAAUAGUGGGGUCUGCCAGAAGAAUUCUCUUGGACAGUAUUAUGGUCUUGGAUCUGAAACACGAGGAACAUCUACAUUUGUUCCAGAUCCUUAUGGAAUAGAAGUUGGUGAUCCUGCAGAUAUUCCUGCUGGGUAUGAGGAGGGGUGGUUCCUUAAUGUUCAUGCAAUUGAUACUCGGGGCGUCGAAGAUAAGUUGGGAUGCACUGAAUGCAGGUGUGAUCUAUAUAAUGUCACAAAGGAUCAAUAUGAUCGCCCCUUGAGGCCAGACUAUAAAGGAGGCUUACACUGUUGCUAUGAUUAUACACAAUGCAGACUGAGAGAAGGCUUUGAGAGCGCUGAGAGAAGAAGCCUUUACCUGAGAUAUACAGUGAAGUGGCUUGAUUGGGAUGAGUUUAUCGUGCCUGUUAAGAUUUAUAUACUCGAUGUCACUGAUACAUGGAAAAGAUUGGACAAUUCAACAGGACAGAAUGCAGAACAUGAAUGCCAUGUUGAGUAUGAAGUUGAAUCUUGUAGGGCAUCUGGCAUGGCUAAUAAUGGAUGCAUUGACACCAAAAGGGUAAGCCUCACAAUGCCUACUGGUGGUUCUGUCAUCUAUGGUGUUGCCCAUCAACAUUCAGGGGGUAGUGGUUCAACUCUUUAUGGAGAGGGUGGACGGGUAAUAUGUUCUUCAAUACCAACUUAUGGAGAAGGAGAGGAAGCAGGAAAUGAGGCGGGUUAUAUUGUAGGAAUGUCCAGUUGUUAUCCUCGACCAGGUUCUGUCAAGAUAAACGAUGGGGAGACACUGAUUCUGGAAUCUAAUUACAGUAGCACCCAAAGGCACACUGGAGUCAUGGGGCUCUUCUACAUUUUGGUUGCAGACGAAUUGCCAAAGCCCUCAAUACGCAUCCCACUUUCAAAGUCAGUUAAUCAGGUAUGAGGCUAUGAGCAUUUAGAAAGAAAUAGAAGGCAAAUUAGGAUGGAUAAAGAGGCAGUCGGGGUACCAAUGAUGGAUGGUUUGAUCAGUUACAGGUUUGAGAGCGGCAAUAGGCGUUGCCGCCAGUGUCCUCCAUCAGCUUCGGACUGAGGGAGAAUACAAAUACCGUUCACUUUUUCAGCUGUUCUACGAGUCUUGGUUUAUGUUAUGAACGUGGAAUUUAGUACCCUUUUAGAUGGCUCUAUUUGUAUAUAGACAUAAACUUGUAGCCUUGUGAAGUUCUUCUGAAUCCCACGGGAAAUAAAUAGAUAUAUAGAUUCUGUCAUCUUUUGAAUCAAAAGAUUGGACCUUUUUUUUAUUUA